rnacentral:pre_miRNA from 8 species
CUUUACGUUGAGCCACACGCACAAUACAUGUGGAUUCAGUUUUGUUCGUUCGGCUCGCGUUAAGCAAGU